GCCAGGUGUGGUGUCAUACACCUGUAAUUCCAGCAGCUUGGGAGGCUGAAGCAGGAGGAUCAAAAUUUCCAGGUUACCCUGGGCAUUUCAGUGAGACCCUGUCUCAA
rnacentral:sRNA from 1 species